rnacentral:rRNA from 1 species
GACAGAGCGCACGGGCGUUAUUCGUUGUUAUUUGGUGUAAAGGGUACGUAGGCGGCUACGUUGAUAUCUGGCGAAAAUCGCGGAGAAUUCCUACGCGGCAGCCUUUUGUCGACGCAGACAGAAUUGAGUACAGGUUGGGGUAACACUCUGUGUAUGAGUCAAAUGGUUCGAUAUUGAGCGGAACACUAGCCGGCGAAGGCACCUUUCUGGUAUCAAUUGGCGCUGAGGUACGAAAGCUCAGGGAGCAAAUGGG